AUUUCAUUGGAAAAAGAGGGGCAAAACAUGGCCUGCGCGUACCUAAAUAUGGUGGCUUUGGAUCCUAUAGACUGCGUGUCUUUGAGACCUUGGAUCUCUGUUAAGAAGUCCACUUGAACUCAGUCAACAAAGCACAGCUUGUUCAAGAGGUCCUGAAAAGUGACUCUGAGCUGAAGAUAUUUCUAUAAGUAUGAGGAGGAGCUGGGAUUCUGCUUCCCAUGUAAAUUUAAGGAAUGGAUCAGCCUUUUUGAGACCAAAGCUAUGAGGUUGUCCAUUUCUGUGAAGCAGCUCAUUUGAGAUGUGAAAUAUAACAGGGUGAGCCACUUCUCUCUCUCUCUCUCUCUCUCUCUCUCUCUCUCUCUCUCUCUCUCUCUCUCUCUCUCUCUCUCUCUCUCUCUCUCUCUCUCUCUCUCUCUCUCUCUCAGAUCUUGUGUUUUCUUAUUUUUGUUUCUUUUAUUUAACUAGGGAUUUUUAACAAAUGCUUUGAAAAAUAUGAUCACUGCAUAUGAAAGAUACUGCAACCCCUUUGAAGUGCUCUUCACUUUUCUCCUUCGUUUGAAUAAUGCUCAGAGCAUAAUGGACAGUGUCACUUAGGGCUGUGCGAAAUUUCACUGCCAGUUUUAUUUCAAUGCUGUUUCAACUCAUUUCAAGGUUGAAACAGCAAAAUUGGAAUGGAACAGAUAUUGUCAAAACAGUCUUGAAACAAAAUGAGGCAAGUCAAAACGUUUCACCGUUUCGAUGAUGUUUCAACGGUUCACCCAUAGGCUAUAAUGGGGAAGGUGAUGUUCCCCCAAAUCCUACACCUAUCACCUUGAAACUUGGCAGGCUUUGUGGCCUCACCAGGAGCUACCAACCCUGCAAUUUUGACCCCGCUGUGGCUUAACACAUACAUGUGACAUGAGUUUUGCUUUCAAGUCUUUGGGGUGCAGUUUCUCCCAAACCCCUGCACCUAUCUCCUUGAAGCUUGGCAGGAUUUGUGGCCUCCACUGGGGCUAGCAAGGUUGCCAUUUUGACCUUGCUCUGGCUUAACACAUACACAUGAUGCAAGUUUUGCUUUCAUGAAUUUGGGGUGCAGUUUCUACGAACCCCCUGCACCUAUCUCCUUGAAACUUGGCAGGCUUCAUGCCCUCAGAAGGGCUACCAUUCCUGCAAGUUUCAUCCAAAUCAGGCCAGAAAUGACGGAAUUCUAGGCUGUUUUGACCUUCCCCAUUAGAUCCUACGGGCGAAACAUUGAAACGGGGUCGAAACGGCAAAACUGUUUCGACAGAACGGAACAGAACAGCUGUUUUGAAUUGAAACAAAAUUCAAAAUGAAAUGCUGUUCCUUCGAAUUGUUGAAACGCUGGUCGAAACGGAACGCUGCCAUUUCGCACAGCUCUAAGGUCACUGCCACUUUAAGAGACUUUUGCAGAACUGAAGCCAUCCAACACUGGUGUAAACAAUUACACACGUUCCUGGAAGUAGAGACUCAGAGGAAGGCUUUAAAAAACCCUGAACACGUAGCAGUGGAGAGGGGAAGGAUUUCCUCCCAGCCCCAUGCAGUAACCAGCGAAGUCCAGAAGUAUGGAAAUACCCAUAGUAUAACGUAGGCAUAGCUACGCCUAGAUCAUCCCCAACCAGUAACUGUCCAACCUCUUCUUGAACAGCUCCCAUGAUGGAGAGUCCACAGCAUCCCUAGACAGUCUAUCCCACUGCCUCACUGUUCUAAGAGUCAAGAAGUUUUUCCUGAUCUCCAAUCUAAACCUACUUUGCUGCAACUUUAAAUCAUUGUUUCAAAUCUCACUUUCCACAGAAAGACAGAAAUGGUGUUUUCUCUCUUUUUUUAUGACGGUCCUUCAAGUAUUUGAAGAUUACUGUCAUGUUCCCUCUUAAGCACCUUUCUGCAAGCUGAAGUUGCCUAUUUUCAUAGAUUUCAUAGACUUUCAUAGACAUUAGGGCUAGAAGGGACCUCAGAAGAUCAUUGAGUCCAGCCCCCUGCCCAAAGGGCAGGAAGUCAGCUGGGGUCAUAGGAUCCCAGCAAGAUAAGCAUCCAGUUUGCUCUUGAAGGUGUUCAAUGUAGGCGCUUGAACCACCUCCGGUGGCAGGCUGUUCCAGACCUUGGGGGCUCGGACAGUAAAGAAAUUCUUCCUUAUGUCCAGCCUGAAAUGGUCUUGUAGUAGUUUAUGACUGUUCGACCUAGUCGUCAUCUCUUGGGGCGCUAUGGUGAACAAACGUUCCCCCAGAUACUGGUGGUCACCCCUGAUAAACUUAUAGGUGGCCAUCAGAUCACCCCUGAGCCAUUUUUUCUUCAACCUCUCCUUAUAUGACUUUCUUUCCAAGCCCUUUAUCACUUUUGUUGCACAGCUCUGGACCUUCUCUACCUUUUUCACAUACUUUUUAAAAUAUGGAGGCCAAAAUGUCAUGCGAUACUAGAUAUGGCCUAACCAGCACCAAGUAGAGAAGGUUUUGCAUCUACUGCUUUUAUUGAUACAUCCCUAAACUGUAUUCAUCUUUUGUGCAGCUUCAUCACACUAGAGACUCAUACUGAGUCUAUGAUCCACCAAGACUCUCAGAUCCCCUUCCACAGUGCUGUCAUCCAGCCAGAUGUCAUCCAUUCUGUAUUUGGAUUUUCUACUAUUCUUUCUGAUGUGUAGCACCUUGCAUUUGUCAACAUUCAACUUCAUCCUGUUAACUCCAGCCCAGCUUUCCAGUCUAUGAAGAUCUUUCUGAAUUGCACUCCAAUUCUCUAAAGUGAUCACAGCCCUUCCCAGUUUUACAUCUGGCCAGUACAGACUCACCUCCUAGUGGUGCUGCGGCAGGCAGAUGGGCAGGAUGGCUACUCAGCACAAUGCACUACAUCCCGUCCCAUGAGGGCCUGUCUGCCACUGGCUGUGGUACCAGGUCUGUGCAGCUGCAGCACCAACAGGAAGCAGAGGCCAGGGGGAGGAUGGAUUUGGGGCAGAGUGGGGAGGAUGAGCAGGUGGGAAGCACCCUGUCCAAAUUCACAGAUGACACAAAAUUAUGUGGUGCAGUUAACACUCUGGAGAGGAGGAACCAGAUCCAGGCUGACCUAGACAGGAUGGGGAAGUGGGCAGAGAGCAGCAGGAUGCAAUUCAAUAAGGACAGGUGCUGCGUCUAGGGAGGAAGGACUGCUAUCAUACCUACAGGCUGGCAGGUGACCUUCUCAGUGACCCCUGAGGCAGAAAAAGAUCUUGGAGUCACUGUUGGCUCCAGGAUGAACAUGAGUCGCCAAUGUGAUGAAGCAGUUGGCAGAGCCAAUCGCACCUUGUUGUGCAUCUGUAGGUGCUUCACAAACAGGUUCAGGGAAGUGAUUCUCCCCCUCUAUGUGGCACUGGUCAGACUGCAGCUGGAGUACUGUGUCCAGUUCGGGACACUGCAGUUCAAGUGGGAUGUGGACAACCUGGAGCGGAUCCAAAGAAGAGCCAUUCCCCUGAUUAGAGGCCUGCAGGGUAGGCCCUAUGAGGAAAGGCUAAGGGACCUUAACCUUUUCAGCCUCUCCAAGAGAAGGCUGAGAGGGGACCUUGUGGCAGCAUACAAAUUCAUGAGAGAGCAACAUGAAGUAGGGGAGGACCUCUUCUCCAAGGCACCCCUUGGAACGACAAGGAACAAUGGCCAUAAGCUACUAGAGAGAAGAUUUAGGUUGGACAUUAGGAAAAAGUUCUUCAUGGUCAGGGCUGCCAGAAUCUGGAAUGGACUCCCAAGGGAGGUGGUGCUCGCCCCAUCCAUGGGGGUCAUCAAAAAGAGACUGGACAGGUACCUGGCUGGGAUCACAUGACCCCAGGGAUGGUGACUCUUUCUUUCCUGCAGGGGCAGGGUGUCGGACUAGAUGACCCACUGAGGUCCCUUCCAACUCUAUGAAUCUAUCUAUGAGUUGGUACAUCUCAGCUCUGUGUUCUCGGGCAACCCUGGCACAGGAUGCAGUCUGUCUGACUCACGAAGAAUUCCCCCUCCCUCCCCUCCUCUACAUAAAUAAAACUGAUUAAGAUGCAGUGGGAGACGCACCUAAAACCCUCCAGAUAAGGGUGACGAGUGAAACAACUGCCGUAGGUCUCAUUUGCAUCUGAGAUGGAACCAGAUGACCAUUCAUUUACAUGAGAGAUGGAGAACAGAAAGCCUGAAGCAAAGACUGCAGUGAAUUCUGGGAUCAGAGAAGCAGGGGAGCACUGCAUGAUGGGGAAUCUGUGCUCCAAAUGCUAAUCAACCCAUGUUUACACACACCCAGCUCAGCAUUUAUCAGACCUGUUCUAAUCUGGAUUUACAAAAAACUUUCCCCCCACAGACACACACACACCUCUAAGUUUAAUAGGCAUCUCGGGCUGUACGUUCCCCGGUCCCACUAUGGGAGGCCUAUUUAAACUUGAUUGACUAAAACUCGGUUGCCAGGUUAGGGAAUGCUGAGGCAAGAGACUGAGUCAGAGGGUAUGGGCAACAUUUGAACAAUGGUAAAAGGUUCAUCACAGCGUCCAGCCUGUUGGAGACCUGACCACAAGUGUUGUCAUUCUUUUCCCGAGACGGCUGAUGGAAGUCCUCUCUACAAAGGGUUAUGAACACUCCAAUAAUUGCCUUAAGUCUGUUAAAAGACUAUAGUAAGAUCUGGAAAAGUCAUGCUAAGAUGAGGCUUGUUCACAACAAGUAAAAAUCCAAAAUCCUGAUGCUGCAAGCUAUUUAUUGUUUCUGAAGAAAUCAUGAGAUAUCCCAUCAGUAUAUCUGCCAUCCAUAGGAAUUUCAAGCUGGCUCCCAAGUGUCUGGGUACUCCCUAACCUUAUGUGUUUCCUGAUUAUCAAUCAGUUUCUUUAGAUGUUCCAAACUAGAUAACCCCUUGUCAAGAAAAAAGACAAUAAUUUACACUAUUGAGAGUGCUUCGAAGCAGCUGAACUGAGGGUAUAAAAAUCUGUAAAAAGCAGCAGUAUGGGUGCUUCAAGAAGAAAACUCCUGUGCUGACACCAUCCCCUGUUGUUCUUGGGACGCUGGAAGAACAGAUCGUCUCCCUUCAAGGGCAGUGCUAGGAAUUUUACCUGUCAGCUUUGGGACUCCAGUACCUUGGACUGGUGAGAUCCCAGCUCUCUCUCUCUCUCUUUUCUCUCUAGGCAUAACUAAUACAGUUCAGGUUCAGAAAUUUAAGCUUGAGCUAAGUUUUCCCAAGUACUUAGUGAAACUAGGGUGGUAUUGUAAUUGUUUGUGUUUGUUUUUUUCUUUUUGCAUGGCUGUUACUACUAGUACCAUUGUAUAUUUCAUAUGCUUAACAAUAAAUAACUGUUAUAGUCAAA